GACGAACGCUGGCGGCGUGCUUAACACAUGCAAGUCGAACGGAAAGGCCCUGCUUGCGGGGUACUCGAGUGGCGAACGGGUGAGUAACACGUGGGUGAUCUGCCCUGCACUUCGGGAUAAGCCGGGGAAACUGGGUCUAAUACCGGAGAGGAGCCAUCUUUAGUGUGAUGGUUGGAAAGUUUUUUCGGUGUAGGAUGAGCUCGCGGCCUAUCAGCUUGUUGGUGGGGUAAUGGCCUACCAAGGCGGCGACGGGUAGCCGGCCUGAGAGGGUGGACGGCCACAUUGGGACUGAGAUACGGCCCAGACUCCUACGGGAGGCAGCAGUGGGGAAUAUUGCACAAUGGGCGCAAGCCUGAUGCAGCGACGCCGCGUGGGGGAUGACGGCCUUCGGGUUGUAAACUCCUUUCGCUAGGGACGAAGCUUUUUGUGACGGUACCUAGAGAAGAAGCACCGGCUAACUACGUG
rnacentral:rRNA from 1 species